rfam:Candidate division TM6 bacterium GW2011_GWE2_42_60 TV38_C0002, whole genome shotgun sequence.
CGGGGCGUGGCGCAAUUUGGUAGCGCACUCGCUUUGGGAGCGAGGGGUUGCCAGUUCGAGUCUGGCCGCCCCGA